CCCCCAAGACCUCAGGGAGGUGGUGGGGAAUGAAUGAAUGAAUGAACAUGCUAAGCUCCCCCCUUCGACUUCUGUCUCCUUUGCUCUUCUGCAGAGUUGUCUUGACUCUGCCUGUGCUGGCCAUGUGUUCUCAGAGACACCAACUCUGUCCUGCAAGUUUAUCACCUUGAAUGUGAUAAACACAUGAGCCAGGAGCAGCUUAAAUCUCUGCAGAAGGCUUGGCCUGGGAAAGCCAUACACUGGACUGCUCUUGCUUUAGCUUCUGAUUUGGGAGAGAUGGGGUUUCACCAUGCUGGCCAGGCUGAUCUCAAACUCCUGACCUCAUGAUCUGCCCAUCUCGGCCUCCCAAAGUGCUGGGAUUACAGGAAUGAGCCACCGCGCCUGGCUUGCAGUGAUGCUAUUUUAUAGCUUGACCAAAACGUUGCCAUGCUUAUCUUGGACUUUCUGCACGAGGACAAGGACCUGGUCUGUUAGAGCAGGAGUCCCCAGUCCCCAGCUCACAGACUGGUACCAGUCUGCCGCCUCUCAGGAACUGGACCAUACAGCAGGAGACUCAGCACUCACAGCGUGCAGAGGGACUGAGUCCACUGCACCAGGCUCAGCUUCUUCCAGGCAGAAGGCAGCGACCAGACGGUCAAAGGCCACCCGGGCCUAGGGAAACCAAAGCCCCAAGUCACCCAGCCAGAAGAGCAAAGAACUCGGGCUUUGGGUUUCGGUGUCUCAAGAUGUGUGGCAACAGCUUCCUGUCUGCCAAGUUCUGCAUGUGUAAGGCGUGAGGAGAAAGCUUUUCAGUUCAUGGGAAACAACAUCCCAAGUGCUGACCUUGAUGGUGGCGAUCUCCCACCUCCACGCUCCUACCAAUGAGCUGCCAUUCCACAGACAAGAUCCAGGAAGAGGAUGGUGGCUUUUCCAAUAAGGUUAGUAAGCCAUCAUAUGGAACAAUUUCAAAUGCUGUCCACCUGGGGGCGCCCCCUCCCAGUCACAAACCCAUCUUUGGGGAAGUGACCAGUCCAUAAAAGAGAGAUUAGGGGCUGGGCGCAGUGGCUCAUGCCUGUAAUCCCAACACUCUGAGAAGCCAAGG